rnacentral:tRNA from 1 species
GUCCAGAAGGCCCAGCGGUCUAAGGCGCUGGUUUAAGGCACCAGUAUCUCCCGAGGCGUGGGUCCGAAUCCCACUCUCGUCA